UUUAGCUUGCUAAAUUCUUUGAGAGCGGCGAACGGGUGAGUAAUACGUUGGAAUCUGCCCCAAGGUCAGGGAUAGCCAUCUGAAAAGAUGAUUAAUACCGGAUAGUCUCUUCGGAGUAAAAAUUUAUUGCCUUGGGAGGAGCCUUCGUUCUAUCAGUUAGUUGGUGAGGUAAUGGCUCACCAAGACUAUGACGGAUAACUGGUCUGAGAGGAUGAUCAGUCACAAUGGAACUGAGACACGGUCCAUACUCC
rnacentral:rRNA from 1 species